UACGUAGGGGGCAAGCGUUGUCCGGAAUCAUUGGGCGUAAAGAGCGUGUAGGCGGCUCGGUAAGUCCGCUGUAAAAGUCCAGGGCUCAACCCUGGAAAGCCGGUGGAAACUGUCGAGCUAGAGUCCGGAAGAGGCGAGUGGAAUUCCUGGUGUAGCGGUGAAAUGCGCAGAUAUCGGGAAGAACACCCGUGGCGAAGGCGGCACUCUGGGACGGUACUGACGCUGAGACGCGAAAGCGUGGGGAGCGAACAGG
rnacentral:rRNA from 1 species